rnacentral:rRNA from 1 species
CCUACGGGGGGCAGCAGUGAGGAAUAUUGGUCAAUGGCCGUAAGGCUGAACCAGCCAAGUCGCGUGAAGGAAGAAGGAUCAAUGGUUUGUAAACUUCUUUUGUAGGGGAAUAAAGGUAUCCACGUGUGGCUAUUUGCAUGUACCCUAUGAAUAAGCAUCGGCUAACUCCGUGCCAGCAGCCGCGGUAAUACGGAGGAUGCGAGCGUUAUCCGGAUUUAUUGGGUUUAAAGGGUGCGUAGGUUGUUUUUUAAGUCAGCGGUGAAAGUUUGUGGCUCAACCAUAAAAUUGCCGUUGAAACUGGAAGACUCGAGUGGGUGUGAGGUAGGCGGAAUGCGUGGUGUAGCGGUGAAAUGCAUAGAUAUCGCGCAGAACUCCGAUUGCGAAGGCAGCUUACUAGGCCAUAACUGACACUGAAGCACGAAAGCGUGGGGAUCAAACAGGAUUAGAUACCCUAGUAGUC